GGAUGAUCUCAUCCCCUUUAAGAGGGAACACAAGCCUACACAUAUAAACACAAAAACAGGCAUAAACAAACGCUGAAUGAGGAAAACAGGAACAAGCUGUCUGCUGUGCAGUGGAGUACAGCUGUAUACAUUUCAUUCCCACAUUUAGCUGCUGAACAUGUUGACCAUGCUCUCCUGCUGCUUAGUCCAGGAUCCAUCUCAAACAUGCCUCACCACUGGUGGAUAUGUCCACUAGAUCUGGUAGACGCACAAACAAUACCUAACCAAUACAAAAGGUUCCCAAAGGAUCAACAUUCUCAAAUUCAACAAUAGUCUUUUAGUCCAGUCAAAACAAUAUAUUCCAUACAUGAGUAACUUUCCAAGAUGUACUUGUGGUAACAAGGAUGGUUAUGGGUGCCAUGGCAAUGCACUAACGAUACACCUCCAGUGUACGCUGUGAGAGAUGUUUGUCUAAAGGGGGUUACCGUGUUUGUUGUGUGUGUGUGUGUGUGUGUGUGUGUGUGUGUGCGUGCGUGUGUGUGUGUGCGUGUGUGUGUCGUCUUUGCAACCGGUGGGAAUGGGGACACACAAAAACACACACAUAAAAACACCCAAGUAGAGGCAAAUACCUGAAGCUAAAACCAAUCAUGAAAACAGAGAUGCACGGCAGUGGUGCCAAAAGAAUCCUCCCAAGAAACGCCUCUGAAAUACGUCCAUAAAGGGAUUUCACGGAUGUCAGUGGGCCGAGUGGAGAGGAGUGCUUUGACAUACGCCCAGAGUCUUGCCUGGGCCGUGGUGGAGGAUAAAUGGGCAACACUCUGACUGGUGGAACACUUAAGACUUUACGAACCGCUGCCAUUUGGGGUCUGGGCAGAGGAGCAAGCGACCACAGGACUAAUUAGGCCUGGUUAGAGAGGCCUGGUUGGAGAGGUUAGGGAGGCCUGGUUAAAGAGGCCUUGUUAGAGAGGCCUGGUUUAGGUUAGAGAGGCCAGGUUAAAGAGGCCUGGUUAGAGAGGUUAGGGAGGCCUGGUUAGAGAGGUUAGGGAGGCCUGGUUAGAGAGGUUAGAGAGGCCUGGUUAAAGAAGUUUGGGAGGCCUGGUUGGAGAGGUUAGGGAGGCCUGGUUUAGGUUAGAGAGGCCUGGUUGGAGAGGUUAGGGAGGCCUGGUUUAGGUUAGAGAGGCCGGGUUGGAGAGGUUAGGAAGGCCUGGCUAAAGAGGUUAGAGAGGCCUGGUUAGAGAGGUUAGGGAGGCCUGGUUAGAGAGGUUAGAGGGGCCUGGUUAAAGAUGUUAGGGAGGCCUGGUUAGAGAGGUUAGGCAGGCCUGGUUAAAGAGGUUAGGGAGGCCUGGCUAGAGGCCUGUGUGACCCCGGGCCUGAGACCCUCGGUCAGGGCGGACUGGGGGAGCAGGGGUGUGUUUGAGGAAGCACAUCAGCAGGCGUGUAACUGUGAGUGUAACUGUGUGUGUGCGUGAGUCCUGAGCCAGGGCAGGGUGCCGUUUGUUCUCAUAAAGACCACACUGCUCCUUUCAUGUUGGAGCUGCCAGGCCUGGAAAUUCUGACACAGGAGAUAGACGCACAGCCAAACCUGCACGCACAACAACACACAUACGCACACACACUCUAUUAAAAACAACGCCAGAGGAUGACCACAGAGAGACAGGGGACGAGGGAUACACUGGAGAGACGUAGAAAAGGGUAAUCUAGGUCGCUCAAUGAAAAUAAAACAUUUAAAGA
ensembl:lncRNA